rnacentral:tRNA from 1 species
GCGUUGGUGGUUCAGUGGUAGAAUUCUCGCCUGCCACGCGGGAGACCGGGGUUCGAUUCCCCGCCAACGCA